UCAAAGACUCCUUCAUGGACAUUGGUUUCACUGAAAAGCAAGCACCGCCUUCGAGGAUCGUUAUAGGUUAGUCCUUCUUUUCCGCACGACUAAGGUCUUUACGAGCAUUGACUCGUUGAAGAGUGAGUAUGGCCUUCGGAGGUCCUUGUUUUAGUCAUCGAGAUCUUGAGUUACGGAUCUGCACAUAAAAGAUGAGAGAACUC
rnacentral:lncRNA from 1 species